GUAAGCAGAGAUACCAACCAUCAAAAUUCAGAGAGCAACAAUAUCAAUGAAGACCUGGACCAAACUUUUCAUGGCAAUGUUUCUAAAGUUCAGGCCUCUAACAUUGAUUUAACAAAACCAUAUGCAUCAGGUAGCAUGUUGCUUGAUGGUAUCAGAAAAAUGCUGCAAAAGAGUGAUGAAAGGAAACAGAGGAGGAAUGUUUUGAAGGAGCAAAGCAGAAAGAGGUCAAGGGCUCAGAUGGGUGUUUGCAUAAAGGAAGAGCAAGAAAAAGAACGCCUACUUUUCCUUUGUCUUUUUUUGGCAAGCUUGUUUGACAAGAAAAGUGCACAGACCUAAACUGGCACAAGGCCAACAUCUGUUCCCAAUCCUUUUAUU